UCCGUAGGGUGCAAGCGUUACUCGGAAUUACUGGGCGUAAAGCGUGCGCAGGCGGCUUUGCAAGACAGAUGUGAAAUCCCCGGGCUUAACCUGGGAACUGCAUUUGUGACUGCAUGGCUAGAGUGCGGCAGAGGGGGAUGGAAUUCCGCGUGUAGCAGUGAAAUGCGUAGAUAUGCGGAGGAACACCGAUGGCGAAGGCAAUCCCCUGGGCCUGCACUGACGCUCAUGCACGAAAGCGUGGGGAGCAAACAGG
rnacentral:rRNA from 1 species